UAGGGAAUCUUCCACAAUGGACGAAAGUCUGAUGGAGCAACGCCGCGUGAGUGAAGAAGGGUUUCGGCUCGUAAAGCUCUGUUGUUAAAGAAGAACGUGGGUAAGAGUAACUGUUUACCCAGUGACGGUAUUUAACCAGAAAGCCACGGCUAACUACGUGCCG
rnacentral:rRNA from 1 species